GAUGAACGCUGGCGGCGUGCCUAAUACAUGCAAGUCGAGCGAACAGACGAGGAGCUUGCUCCUCUGAUGUUAGCGGCGGACGGGUGAGUAACACGUGGAUAACCUACCUAUAAGACUGGGAUAACUUCGGGAAACCGGAGCUAAUACCGGAUAACAUGUUGAACCGCAUGGUUCAACAGUGAAAGACGGUUUUGCUGUCACUUAUAGAUGGAUCCGCGCCGCAUUAGCUAGUUGGUAAGGUAACGGCUUACCAAGGCAACGAUGCGUAGCCGACCUGAGAGGGUGAUCGGCCACACUGGAACUGAGACACGCUCCAGACUCCUACGGGAGGCAGCAGUAGGGAAUCUUCCGCAAUGGGCGAAAGCCUGACGGAGCAACGCCGCGUGAGUGAAGAAGGUCUUCGGAUCGUAAAACUCUGCUAUUAGGGAAGAACAAAUGUGUAAGUAACUAUGCACGUCUUGACGGUACCUAAUCAGAAAGCCACGGCUAACUACGUG
rnacentral:rRNA from 1 species